CAUUCCAUAAUAGUCCAGAAUAACUACCUUCUCCUUUUCUCUCCAAGCAAUUUCCCGCCCUAAAAUCCAAAACCCUAACGCUAACAAAGCCUCACCGUAAAACCCUAACACCAAUCGCAACCGCAAAUUCAAACCUCAAAAGGCCAAAUUCAAGUCCCCGCCGCGAACAAUCACUUCCGCCGCCGGCGAAGACGCUGGCUCGCCUCCAUCCUCUAGAACACUGCACCGUUCCGUAUUUUAAUUUCGAAUCUGAAGCACCAAAAGAAGUAAAGCUCUCCGACUCUAAUGCAGUCAAACUCGACGAUGGACGGGAAACGCAGCGUUUCAGGACUCACGAUGGGCUGAAUGGUGAUUUACGUGUCGAUUCCAGGCGAUUUGAAGUGUUUGAAAUUAAUGCAGAUUUUGAAGAAGGAAAAGACGACGAUUAUGAGUAUGAGAGCGAGGAGGAGGAAGAAGAAGAAACUGUGAAUGAUUGUAAUAGCGAUGGCUUUUAUGAAGGAGUUUGCUGACGGGGAAAUGUGAAUUUGUUAGAUUUUGAGGGUGAAGAAGAAGUCGGGAAGGAGGAGAGAUUGUUGGCUGUGACGCGGUGUUUUGUCAGGGAGAAAAUUUAUGUCAAAGCGGGAGACGGUGGGAAUGGAGUGUUGGCUUUUCGGCGCGAGAAAUUUGUGCCAAUGGGGACCGUCUGGAGGGGAUGGAUGUAGAGGAUGGAAUGCUUCUGUAGAAGUUGGUGGUUCAAUGAAUUCUUCGUUUCCAUUUAGGAAUAUAGUGUAUUAUAGGACGGGGAGAGGGGUCCAUGGGCAAGGGAUGAGCAUGGAUGGAGCGAAAGGAGAGGAUGUUGUGGUGAAAGUGCCGGCGAGGAUGGUUGCUAGGGAGUCUGGGAAUGAGGAGGUUUUGUUGUGGUCAUGCCUGGUGGGAGAGGGAAUGCUGCGUUGAAGUGUGGGAGUGAUAAGGAACCUAAGAUUGCGGAGAAUGGUGAAGAGGGUUUAGAAAUAGUUAGUGUAUUUUUAAUCGUGAUUUGUGUUUCACUGUUAGUUGUUAGGGCUACUUUCUAUAGGUUGCCUUUUGGAUUGUGUGUGUAUUAUAAAUUGUUUGAUUUUAAGUGUUUGAAUUGGCUUGUUGGCAUAGUGUUUUCGUAUUGAUACUUUUUGUAGUACUGUGAUUUAAUUUGAUUGAUCUUGCUUUGCUUUGAUUAAAGCCAUGAUCAUGAGAAUGGUGACAAGUCAGUAUAAUAUACAUUUUGAACUCCGAUUGGUUUGCUUUGAUUAAAGUGAUUGAUCUUUCUGCUAACGUUCUGCAUUUUUAAUGUGCUGGAGUUGGUUUAUCUAGUGUUGCAUGACUAAGAAUGCUAUGUUUGGUUAUAUUGUCGAGGUUAAUACAAUAAAGUUAUUAAAUUUCAAUUGUUUGUUAGGCUUGAGGGAUAUAGCUAUAUAUUCUGGAAGAGUUUAUUUUGAUAUGUGCUCAUAAGAAAUAAUGGCGUGCAUGAACAGGUGGUCGGAGCCGGAGCCAAAGCUGGUCACAGAUGUUGGAAUAGUGGGUGCCCCAAAUGCUGGGAAGAGCACACUUUCGAGUUUCACAAAGUGCUGCUCAGCUGGCAUUUGCAAAUUAUCCUUUUACUACUUUACUUCCUAACCUGGGUGUAGUUUCAUUUGAUUAUGAUUCUACAAUGGUAUUAGCAGACCUUCCAGGUUUACUUGAAGAAGCGCAUCGGGGUUUUGGUCUAGGUCAGAGUUUCUACUACACACUGAAAGGUGUUCUGCCCUGGUACGGGCGUUCUAUCAUGAGCUACAGCUAAUUUAAUUAUCAGAUCUGUGGUUACAACACUAAGUUUUGUAGUUUGAGCUUGUCAUGCCGUCCUGCCUUGCCGCUGACAUUUGGAUGGGCUUCAUACUCGCCUUUUGGAUGGGCAUCAUCCUCUCCUAUUAUUUGUUUGAUAUUUCUGCUGAUAGCUCUUCACAGCAGCCAGAAUUUGAGUUUAUUCUGUUUGUCUUGAGCUGGAAAUGUUGAGUCCUGAGCUUCCUGAGAAGACCUAUGUAGUUGCCUCCAACAAAAUGGACCUGCUGGAGGCAUAUGAGAACUGGCUGUUAUUCAAGGAAAACCACAAGCACAUGGGAUCCAGACUUUUUGCACGAGUGCUGUGAAGAGAGAAGGUACACAUGAAGUGAUCCGUGCUGCUCAUAAGCUUCUGCAAGAAAGUAAAGAAGCCAAUAAGGGGUUUGAAGAUAUAAAGAUUCUGAGAGAAGAUUCCAACAUGUGUUGGAGGCUUUUGGUGUUAACAAGCCACUCUUGAAGAUGGGAGUCGAGGAAGGUGACUCUGUGAUUGUUGGAGAGAAUUCUGAUUGGUCUAUCGAAUGUGAAGAAGUUAUCAUUUGAUCCUACCAAAUGGAGUGGGAGUAAUCCUUCUGUUCUUAAUGCCAAGAGUAUAGUGACUGAGUUUCUUAGUAUCAUGACCAUAAUGAUAGAAUACCUACAUGGAGCAAAGUGACCACAAUUUAUUGCUCUUCUGCUUAUUGACAGAAAAAGGGGACUUCUUCAGAGAAAUAGUAAAGCUUUUCCUUGAAUAUUUGCAAGCUCUGAAGUAGCUUCAUGUGCAAUUUUCCACAGUGGGCAGAUCGUGGUUGCGGCCUAUUUCAUCCGACUGAUGGCAUGCAGGUUGCUACAGACGUUCAGCAGUUGCCACAUAGAAUAACCAUGUAAAGCAAACAUAUGCCAUCUGGGAAGAUGUGAUACUAGUUACCACUAGCAAAGGCAAAUGAAAGUGGAGUUCAAAGCUCUUUUGGCCCAAUCCUGUUAUGUCUGAUAAUGAGAUUACUUGAGAUAGAGAACUUAAAUCAUAGAUUCAGCACAAAAUGCUAGAGUUACAAGUGGUAGAUGUGACAAACAGAUGGAUAUGCUAUCUUUAUGUCGACCUCUUCUUGAAUUCAUGUGGGAGUUACCCCUAGGACAAGAAUUCAGGUAUGUAACAAUUUGCUUCCGUGGUGGAUCCUCGUUUCUGCUUUCUUGCCCCUGGAGGACUUUGGUGCUGCAAUCCAACCGGUACAGCCCUUCACACUAGGAUGACAAUGUAUAUCCAUUGAUCGGGAGGAUUUGUACUAUUCAUACCAAAACCUGAACCUGAAAUUACUAUCAAAUUCCUGACUUGAACUCGGACGGGUAUGGAUUUUCGAUAUAUGAGCUUGAACCUGAUCGGUUGGGCAUCCAUAACCUGAACCCGAAUGUUAAAACUUAGAACUAUUUAGUAUAUAAUUAGCUUAGUAUAUAUAUAAUCUUUUCAAAAUUUGAGAUUAUUUCUUUA